GACAGAGGGUGCAAACGUUGUUCGGAAUUACUGGGCGUAAAGCGUGUGUAGGCGGUCUUCCAAGUCAGGUGUGAAAGCCCCGGGCUCAACCCGGGAAGUGCACUUGAUACUGUUUGACUUGAGUACUGGAGAGGUUGGUGGAAUUCUCGGUGUAGAGGUGAAAUUCGUAGAUAUCGAGAGGAACACCUGUGGCGAAGGCGGCCAACUGGACAGAUACUGACGCUGAGACACGAAAGCGUGGGGAGCAAACAGG
rnacentral:rRNA from 1 species